UACGAAGGGUGCAAGCGUUACUCGGAAUUACUGGGCGUAAAGCGUGCGUAGGUGGUUUGUUAAGUCUGUUGUGAAAGCCCCGGGCUCAACCUGGGAAUGGCAAUGGAUACUGGCAGGCUAGAGUGCGGUAGAGGGUAGUGGAAUUCCCGGUGUAGCGGUGAAAUGCGUAGAGAUCGGGAGGAACACCAGUGGCGAAGGCGGCUACCUGGACCAGCACUGACACUGAGGCACGAAAGCCAGGGGAGCAAACGGG
rnacentral:rRNA from 1 species